UAACCACUUGACAGUGUGCUCAGAUAUUAAAUUCUUGGGGAAAGGAAAAGAUUGUGCCAGAGGUCUCGGAAUGCCUAUGCUAUUGUAAGCCUGCAUGAAAUCCUGGCCACAAGCCCCCGCUCACAUCCAGGUUGUGUACCUGCUGGGUCAGAGUCACAGCAACCAUGAGAACUUCCACUACACUUUGAACAUGCGAUUCUGCUGUCAGUAGUGACAUUCACUUUCCAUUUUCUCUACCCAUGAAUGAUGGAAGGCAGCGCCACCUGACAGUGGGAAGAAUAUUCAAAUAAGACAUUCAGGAGAAAGAAAUGGGCUUCCUUCCUGUUUGCCAUGCCAACCUGCUUGUUGAGAAGAGUCAAGCAAACACAAGACACCUGUUUCACAUCAGGUUCUUAAUCGUUCACCUGCAAUCACUUGAGCUAAUGUUUGAUUUAACCGCGUUGUGAAAAUUGUAGUUUCUCCAAAAGCAAGAGUUCCUCAUCUGCUGUAGCAUUAUGCACCUCAAGAACUGAAUCACUGCCACAGACGACAUCUGGAUUCUGACAACACCGUGAGUAUUUCUUAGAGAAAAUAU